GAUCUGAACUGGUAUAGUUUAUGUCGUUGAUGAUAAUAAUUCCUCCACGACUCAGCAACAAGAGCUACUCUGGGUGAUGAGCUUAAUGGUGCUGUUGCGGCUAUUUUAAUUUUUCAACAAGGAUCCAAAUGGCGCCGUUGACGAAAUUCUUUCAUUAUAAACGUCAACGAUCAACAUCAGCCAUCAGGGAACGAAGAAGGUACGCUGUAACGUGUCUGAGUAAUUAUACCUCGAGGAGUACAUACAGUUAUGUAAUGAAGAUUCGUAUGUGAGUGUUUGUUUUCUUAUUUCUUUUCCCUUUGUUUCAUUUGAAUGGAUUUUUGUACUCAAAGAGCGAGUUGACUGUAUGGUGGAUGUAUCUAAUGGUGUUGUAGUUGACUGUAUGUUGUUCAAUAUUGCUAUGAAACUCUUCUGAUUCAUUGUCACUUAUACGAAGGAUGGAAGUAUACGAAAUUGAUAAAAUUAUUAAUAAUAUUUACGAAGAGAAAGUAAACUGUUGGAUAUAUGACAAAAUAAUUCUAUUUUAAAUAA